GAUGAACGCUAGCGGGAGGCCUAGCACAUGCAAGCCGAGCGGUAGAGCUUCUUCGGAAUCUUGAGAGCGGCGUACGGGUGCGGAACACGUGUGCAACCUGCCUUUAUCAGGGGGAUAGCCUUUCGAAAGGAAGAUUAAUACCCCAUAAUAUAUUGAAUGGCAUCAUUUGAUAUUGAAAACUCCGGUGGAUAGAGAUGGGCAUGCGCAAGAUUAGAUAGUUGGUGAGGUAACGGCUCACCAAGUCUACGAUCUUUAGGGGGCCUGAGAGGGUGAUCCCCCACACUGGUACUGAGACACGGACCAGACUCCUACGGGAGGCAGCAGUGAGGAAUAUUGGACAAUGGGUGCGAGCCUGAUCCAGCCAUCCCGCGUGAAGGACGACGGCCCUAUGGGUUGUAAACUUCUUUUGUAUAGGGAUAAACCUAGAUACGUGUAUCUAGCUGAAGGUACUAUACGAAUAAGCACCGGCUAACUCCGUGCCAGCAGCCGCGGUAA
rnacentral:rRNA from 1 species